GACGAACCGAGCGAACGUUGUUCGGAAUCACUGGGCUUAAAGGGCGCGUAGGCGGGUGCUCAAGUCCGGGGUGAAAUCCUCCAGCUCAACUGGAGAACUGCCUCGGAUACUGGGUGCCUCGAGGGUGGUAGGGGUAUGCGGAACUAUCGGUGGAGCGGUGAAAUGCGUUGAUAUCGAUAGGAACUCCGGUGGCGAAGGCGGCAUACUGGACCACUUCUGACGCUGAGGCGCGAAAGCCAGGGGAGCGAACGGG
rnacentral:rRNA from 1 species